UACGAAGGGUGCAAGCGUUAAUCGGAAUUACUGGGCGUAAAGCGUGCGCAGGCUGUUUUGUAAGUCAGAUGUGAAAUCCCCGAGCUCAACUUGGGAACUGCGUUUGAAACUACAAGACUAGAAUAUGUCAGAGGGGGGUAGAAUUCCACGUGUAGCAGUGAAAUGCGUAGAGAUGUGGAGGAAUAUCAAUGGCGAAGGCAGCCCCCUGGGAUAAUAUUGACGCUCAUGCACGAAAGCGUGGGGAGCAAACAGG
rnacentral:rRNA from 1 species